rnacentral:rRNA from 1 species
GUCUGACGGAGCAACGCCGCGUGAGUGAUGAAGGUUUUCGGAUCGUAAAGCUCUGUUGUUAGGGAAGAACAAGUACCGUUCGAAUAGGGCGGUACCUUGACGGUACCUAACCAGAAAGCCACGGCUAACUACGUGCCAGCAGCCGCGGUAAUACGUAGGUGGCAAGCGUUGUCCGGAAUUAUUGGGCGUAAAGGGCUCGCAGGCGGUUUCUUAAGUCUGAUGUGAAAGCCCCCGGCUCAACCGGGGAGGGUCAUUGGAAACUGGGGAACUUGAGUGCAGAAGAGGAGAGUGGAAUUCCACGUGUAGCGGUGAAAUGCGUAGAGAUGUGGAGGAACACCAGUGGCGAAGGCGACUCUCUGGUCUGUAACUGACGCUGAGGAGCGAAAGCGUGGGGAGCGAACAGGAUUAGAUACC